rnacentral:lncRNA from 1 species
GAUAAGAAACAACUUACCACAACCAUUAAUUAUCCAUAAUUUCAUUGUUUAUCCUCAGUUUUCUUCAUAAAUGUUACAGCGUUCUUCACAACAAAGUGCAAGGGCAUCUCAAAAGUUCUGAAAUAAUACCUCAAUUCUAUUGCAAAAAUAAAUAAUCUCAAACAAGAACCAAUAAUCAUAUUUCGUUACUGUCAAACACAAUGCAUCUGAGCAAAACAUUGGAAGCCAACACCAGAAUACAUAUGAAUAAACAAUUAAAGAUAGAGAAAAAAGGCUUAAACCUUGGGGGAAAAAAGUGAAAAAACAUGAAAGACAAAUUACACAUGUGCAGUAACCAUCGAACUUAUCAGUGACAGCUGCAUCCAUUACAUUGCUCCAACAACACAAUGGCAAACCACCAGUUUCAAAUUGAGGAUAGCUAUUGAGAAUGAGAAAGUGUCCAAAACGCCAUAAAUAGACAUGUUCCUAUUAUGCAUAAUUUACAUUAUAGGCAAAUAUUCUUAUACCAUCAAAAGCAAAACAUGACACUAUAACAAUUGACUCCCCCCCCCCCCCCCCCCCCCCCGCACACAAAAAAAAAGGAAGAAACAAUACCGAAAAGAUUGAAACAGGUAAGGCUACACUGAGCACAGGAUGCCAUGAAACAUAAUCCAGGAACCAAAUUAAUAAAGAAGGAAGGCAAACCAUUAUUUAACAAUCUGUUUUGUAUUAGGGAAAGUCCGAUAAAAUCUACUUAGGGAUAAUUAGAGAACCUCAACUAUUAAUCACACCUCAUAAAUGAACUAACAUUAACCAUGUACCAUCCCCACAUCAGACAAACAUUCUCUAUACUUCUGAACCUAAUACUUCCAUCUUCAAUUGGGGUUUUUUUCUUUUGUGGGGGGGGGGAUAAGCUAUCGUUUUUCUAAGCUUGCUUACCUUCUGUGUGGGACUGAAAUACUGAUUUCGAAUCAUUAACAGUAAAAUUGGAAGCUCAUGAAAAAACAAUUUUAUCUUUUAACAAAAGUUAAAAUUACAUCUCCAUAUAAAUUCUCUUUUCAUUUCCUUCAAUUUUCUAAUUAAGCUUAAAAAAAUGUACCUUCAACCACAAAGGGGUUUAAAAUUUAAAAUAUAUAAAAAAAUAAAUUCAGAUAACAAUAAUUAAUUUAAUUAAAAAUAUAAAUAGAGAUUACAGAGAAAGAAAAAAUAGAGAAAGACCUGAUGUUGAGAGCAUCGACGGCCGGCAGUGACCGGCGGAAGAUGGCGAGAGAUGGCGGCGUGGGCCAUUGCUUGCGCAUCAGUGAGUGUCUCGAGUGAGAGAGUGAAGGUAGGGAUGGCAAUGGGGAGGGAGGGAGGGUCCAAUCUCUCUGUACCCAUCUCCCAAUUUGUCCCCGUCCCUCCCCGUCCCCAUUUGCUUAGAAUCUGUCCCCUACUCGAAUAAUAAUUCUCGAAUAAUAACAUAAAAUGCUCGAGGUUCUCGAUUUAUGAAUAAUUAAUAUAUUUUUUAUUUUAAAUUUUAAAUUAACUAUAUUAAAAUAAAAAAUUUAAAUAAAAAUAAAAUUUGAAAUAUAUUUUAUAUUAAUAUUGAUCCAUUAUAAAAAUUACAUACAAAAUAUAAAUUAUCAAAAUAAUUAUCUUUAUCAAUCUUCAUAAUCCUACAAUAAAAAGAAAAAAAAUUUACUUUUAUAUUGAUAAUAAAAUAAAUGUAGAUAAUUAAUUAAUAUUUUUAAUAAAAUAAAAUUAAAAUAAAAUAAAAUUUUUAGGCUAAUAUAAUCUACCCGACUUUUUUAAUGUGUUAAAUAAAAAUUUAAGACUUUAAUUAGUUAAUUAGGCCUAAAAGCUUAAUAAUAUAAAUAUUUUGAUAUUUAUUAUUUUUACUAAUAUUUAUAAUUUUAUAAUAUAUUCAAUUUUUAUUAUUUAUUUACUAGUAAUUUUAAAAAAUAAAAAUAAAAUUAAAAAAUAAAAUGGGGGAAAUGGGGAGGGGAUGGGGAUUCCACCUCAUCCCCGUCCCUUCCUUGUAGGGAUGGCAAAAGUUCGGGUCGGGUCGGGUCUGGGGCUGCCUGGAACUGACCCGGAUUUCACACAUAGCUGCCCGGACCCGGACCGUGCCCGGAUUUUUUCUAUGCGGGCCGGGUAUAUGGCUGGCACUAUCCGGGCACAGGUUUUUUUUGGGUUUUCUCUACCCACAUUUUCAAAACUGGCUAAAAAAAAAUUGAUAGAAAAGGCUAAAUAAGUAAACAAAAUUGCAAUUGGGCCUGGAAAUUCAUAACUUAUCCCUGAAUUAUAUAUAUAUAUAUAUAACUUCUAAUUCUUUGUUGAUACAAGUUUUUUCUAAUUCAUUAUAAAAUCACAUUAUAUAUAUUAUUUCCUCAUCAGAUAAUAAGUGACAAUUGCUCACCAGUUUAUUAACAUCUCUACGAAACCGUCUUUUAUGGCAUUAUUAUUAUUAUUGUUGUGGCUGAAACCAUGUAGUAUGUGAUUGAAGAAAUUGCAUUAAAUGUUGGAGUGGAGGUGAUGUAGGUGAGAAAGGAUUCCCUGGAGACUGUUAAACAAGACACAAGGCAUUUCCGGAAGAAAACAGAAGACAACUGGAUAAGACAAAACGGACAAAAGGGUAAGAGAGGUGGGUGGGAAAUUAAGAUAGGCAAUUUGUCCAGCAGAAACAUAAUAAUACCUCGUGGUCGUGGGUCGUGGCUGUGUUGGUGAAGUUGCAGCUGAACAAGAACAGUUGAUGCUGUCGCGUGGUGGCUGCCGUUGAGAAGAUGACCAAACGAUGAAGAGCUCUGUGACGGGAUGGUUGUGCUUUGCGAGGAGAAAUAGAGUUGACUGAGGAAGGUAAGAGGUUCGUGGAGGGAAAGGUGCGGACAACACUGCAUCAGUGCCGGUGGGUGGUGGAGAGACGGAGAGAGGUGCCGCCGAUUUGGAGAUUUCAGGGUGGGUGCUGACUGCUGCAGUGCUGCGUUGUUCUGCAAGUUGCAAUCGCGAUUUAGGGUUCAGUACCAGUUUUGGGGGCAAUUGGGCAAAGUAAAUUUUAUUUUCGCUUUUAUAUUUUCUUUUUUUUUACUUAAUAAAAAACCGGGCAUUGAAAAUCAAUGUCCGGAUCCGCUUUUUCCAUUCAUGUGGUCCGGGUAAAACCCGAACCGCACACGCCGGGUCUGGGCCGGAUCCGGUCCGGGUGGGUUUUUCUGCCACCUCUACUUCCUCGAAUAAGAAAUUUGGUAAAAAAAAUUUCCCGUCCCUUCCUCGAAUAAAAAAUCGGGUAUAAAAUUAUCUCUGUAUCCUCCCCGAAUGAGAAAAAUCCCCGAAGAUACCCAUACCUGUGGGGAUUUUUACCAUCCUUGAGUGAAGGGUUUUGUUUAGGGUUUUGGGAAAUGAAAAAUGUAAAUGUUUGAUUUUGUUGCUAGAAACUUCUUCUGCCGCUGCUUUUUAUUUUCGCUAUAAAAAUAAUAAUUUGUUAAUCAAAUAUUUUCUUAAAAAAGAUAAAUUUCUAGAACAAAAUUUAUAUUAAAUCAAAUUGUAAAAAUGUGGAAUAGGGCUAAUUUCUCCUUAAUAUUAUUAUUAGUAGAAGUAGAUUGUCGAACUAGUCUUGAUAUAUUUUAGAGUUGUAUUAUAGAUGUAUACGUAUCUAGAUUGUAAUUAUAUUUUAAAAAAUAUAAUUUUUUUUAAUUAUUGCACAAUAAAUGUAGAAAAUAUCUAUAAAAUAAUAUUAUUAGAACUAUGAUACAGCACCUCAAUUCCACAGUAGCUUAAUAUUAUUAGAACUAUGAUACAGCACCUCAAUUCCAAACGCACUCUAAUUAAAAAAUUUAGAAUUCUUGGGCAUGGAAAGAGUAGUAUUAAACAUCAGAAAGCUAAGGUUGUUCUGUAAAAGAACUGAUAUUGACAUUAUUUUAUUUUGGUUUUCGGGGAAAAAAAUAUUUGUUGACAAGCAAGAAAAUAUUUUUAUAUUUUACAAUUUAUUAUACAUAUUUUAUCAUAUUAAAGUAAUUUUAAUAAUAAAUAGAAACAUAAUAUUACAAUAAAUAAAUUAAAGUUUAAAUUAUUUUGAAUAUUAUAAAAAAUAAUUUUAAUAUUAUUAAUAGGAAGACUUUUGUUAAUUGUAAAAUCUUUUUAAUCCAAAGAUUUGUUUAAAAUUCUUAUAAUAAAUACAAAUAUAAAAUUAAAUAUCAAAAUUUAAAUUUUUUAAUAUUAUUUAAAUUUUAAAAAUACUUUAAUGUUAUUAGUCUUCUACAUAAAUUAUAUUAUUUAUAUUAUAUUUGUAUUGAUUAAAAUCUUUUAAAGUCGAUCUUCUAGUUAUUAUAUGCAAAAGGUAUUAUCAUGUUACAAUUUUUUGAAAUUUUAGGGAUGUAGGUUACGAUGAUUUAUUUCACUUUUGACAAAAUCCAAUGAGAAAUAUGAUAAGAGAAAGUCAAUUUAAUGUUCUCGACCUUUAUGAAAAAAAGUAAAAACUAAGAAUUAUUCAAUUUUAUAUUUUUUGCAUCCACCAAAUAAGUUUUGCACAUUUAUGUUAUCAUAAAACGAAAAAAAGGGUUUACCAAAAAAUGGUACCAAGCAUACCUUUAAUGUCCCACGUGAUUUCUUAUUAAGCCCAAUAUUAGAUAUAUUUAUACAUUUUACUGCAUUAAGUAUUUUAAUUAUAAAAGAAGUUGGUCCUUCCUCUAGUUACAAAAGAUAACUUUAUUUCAAGACUACCACUAAAUUCUUACGUAGAAUUAGUGCAAGGCCAAGAGAGAGUAACACAAUUUUACUUUUCCAUUACCAUUUUGAAAAUAGAAAGAUAUGGAUCCGUGUAUUUAAGAGUUAUUGUAAAAAUCAUACAAUUCAAUUUCCUGACGUGUAUUAUGUAUAUUUAGGCACAUUUGCCAAAAGCAUAAAUAGAUAGAAAGUAAAUUUACAAUCCACCCUUACUCACAAUUAUUGAAGUGAAGAUGCAUUACAACUGUCACUACUUUAACUUUAUUUAUUUAUUUGUUUUAAAUAAAAGUGUGAGAGAGACGGUGAACAUCAUGGACGAUAACAAAGGUUAAAGCCUAAAGGUGACCCAUUUUCUUUUUAAAGUGCUCUGCUGAAAGCCUAACUUCCUUUGGAUCCGCCGAAGUGGCCGAAGUGGUGGGCUGCUGCCCUCACAAGCAUUGUGAGGGCAGCGGUUCUAGCCCCCACAAAAGCAUUGUGGGGGUUAAAUGUUCUUUAUAUUUAAAAAUUUUUCUCCCUUGCGAAAUACAAGUGGAGUAUGGACAUCCCUCUCCUGUGAGGGGUUAUUUGUUUGGGCAUGUACUUCAUAGAAUUUAAUGUAAUAAUGUAAGUCCCAAUAAUGUAUAUCUGAUUGUAAAUAUCAGUAUAAUAUCUCUGCUACAAUAGCAAUUAUUGUAAAUAUUUGUGUAAUACAGUAAUCUGAUGAUUAAUCAGUAUUCAAAAAAAAAAAAACUUCAUUUGGAUCCGCCUAAGUUACUGCUUUGUAAAAUUUUAUAAAGCCCCUUAUACUCUAUAUUAUUUAUAAUUUGUUCAUAAAUAUUAUAAAACUUUCUGCAUUAUAUAAUUUUAUUGAGCCCCUUGUACUAUAUUUUAUUUCAUUGAAACCCUUAAAGUACCAAUUCGCCCUCUAUAAUUUUAAAUUACUAAAAUACCCUCCAUUUAAUUAAAAAUAUAAUGAUUAUUAAAUGAUUAUAAUUAUCUGGAGUACAAAUUCAGUAAUAAACAAUAACUAAAGUAUUAACAAUUUAUUCAUCAAAUAAAAUACUCGAGAUUUCAGCCGACAAAUCCUCUUGUCUAAACUAAAAAACUCAUAUCCCUAAAAUCUAUUUGUGAAAUGUUAGAGAUGAGUGGUGAUUUGUCAACUGGGUAAAUAAAUUUAUGCAUAAUGUUUCCGGUAUUGAUAAAUUACAUAAUAAUUAUUACAAAGAAAUCAUAAAUUGGAAACAUUAAUCAUUUUACAAUAUGUUACAUAAGUAAGAUAAAUCUCAUAGUAAGUUAAGUUAUAACGUAAUAAAUAUUUUCAACAUAUACUUAUUUAAGAAGUCAUUUAACAAUAAUAUUUUUUAUAUUUCAGUUGAUCAUGUCAUAUAGCGUUAUCUAAACUCUUGGCCAUAUUAUUAUUACUCAAUUUUCUCCCAAAAAAAAAAAAAAAAAAACAAAAACAAACAUGAUUAAUGAUUAGAGAAAAGUCAUGCCUUUUAGAAAGAAUACGUAUACAAGCUAUCCAUACUUUAUCUUACCAUGAUGGUGAUUAAAUAUAUUUUUAAAAUAGAUUUAAUGCACAAAUAUGAUGACUUUUGGCAAAAAUUAGUUUCGGAAGAUAUAGUGGUAGAAAAUAGUGAUGAUUAUUGUUUAAAUGUGUAAAUAGUCUAAGCAUAGCCCGUAAUACCAAUAUUCAUUUGCACCUUCAUUUGGAUUAUCAUAUUUUAUGAUGUUCUUUCAUUCAUAACCAUUGUUCAAAAUUUGGAUUUGAUCAUAAAACAAAACUAAAAAAUAUUAGAGAUACUAACAAUUGAGUCCCAUUUUAAGUCCCAAUACAAUGUGUUAUUUCUCAAUGUUGUGUCAUUCAUUAAUUAAGUGAUGAAUUUCAGAAUUAAUAAUUAGUUCAGACUUUAAUUAAGAUUUAAAUGUUAGAAUAUCUAGCAUCAUUCAAUCACAAUAAACAAAAUUCAAAUUGAAACGGCAAUAUUGUAUUUUCUUUAAUUAAUUUUGAUGCUGAAGCAAAUAUUUUGCUUGGGUUUUUCACUUCUUGAUUUUGAUUGGAAAAGUUUCUGAGACGAAGUAUUUUGGAUAAUUUUUUCGGGAUUGAAACCACAACUUGGUAGAGGAAAUUAGUUGGAGUAGUGAUGGCUUUGUCUUCAUUUUUGGUUCCUUUUGUGUCGGCAGCCCCUUACUAUUCUCUUGACCCUGAGUUUGAGAUAGAAAUUUAUCAACCUCCAACCCCACAUCCACAAACAAGUUGAUUGAAACAAUUGCUCUUUUAAUUAAGAGGACCCAAAUGAUUUAGGUUUCAGUUCUUAUCAUUUGUCUAUUAUUUAUUUGAAACAUUUAUUUUGAGCGUUACUGAUCUUAAUUAUCUGUAUUUCUCCAAUUAUUGAAGCAUUUCAAGUGGCCACUUUUUCUCCUUUUUAUAUAUGUUUAUUUUUUGGAGUGAUCAAACGGGGGCAAAAUCAAGUAUUCGCUGGUCUGUAGUUUAGCCAACGAUGGCUGAUCCACACAGUUGAUUAUAUGAUACUAUUAGCUCUCAAAAUCUUUCUUAUUUGAGAAUACAAGUUGCCCAAUAGAGUUGAACUAUGUUACCCAACUCCAUGCUCAUACAUUAAAUGUUUAGGUAGUUUUACAAAAUGAUAGCAGCAUGCCAAAACUUGUUGUUGUCAUUUUCGACAUUUCAAAUUGAAAAAUAUGCAAGCAAUCUUCAGUGAACAUUACGUUUUUAUUGAAUAAUUUAAAUGGCCAGUAAAUCAACAGUCCGUGAGUUUUAAAUCUAUUAUGACUUAAUGUAUCUUUCUGUAUUCGUACACAGGUUAUAUUAUCAUAGUUUAAAAUUUUAAUAUUAUUUUAAAUGUUAAAAAUACUUUAAUGCUAUUAGUCUACUACACAUGUUAUAUUAUUUAUAUUAUAUUUGUAUUAAUUAAAACUUUUAAUGUAAAUUUUCUAAUUACUAUAUUGAAAAGGUAUUAUGGUUAAGAAAAAGUUUUGGCAUUUCUUCUUGAAAAUUUGAGGGUCUGCAUGACAAUUUUUCCAAAUUCUAAGGGUAUAGGUUUGAAAAUUUAAUGUUCUUUAACUUAAUGAAACAAAAGGGGGAAACCAAGAACUAUUCAAUUUUGUAUUUUUUGUUUGUAAUUCAAAAAAUGCAUCCACCAAACCAGUUUUACGCAUUAAUGCUGUCAUAAAACAAAAAACAGUUUGCCAAAAAAUGGUACCAAACAUAUCCUUAAUGUCUCACAUGAUUUCUUAGUAAGCCCAUAUUAGAUAUAUUUAUACAUUUUAGGUAUUUUAGUUAUAAAAGAAGUUGGUCCUCCCCCUAUUUAUAAAAGAUAACUUUGUUUCGAUAUUACCACUAAACUCUUACAUAGAAUUAGUGUAAUGUUAAGAGAGAGUAAAACGGUUUUCCAUUACCAUCUUUGAAAAUAGAAAGAUAUGGAUGCGUGCAUUUAAGAGUCAUCGUGAAAAUCAUACAAUUCAAUUUCCUGACAAGAAGUUGGUCCUCCCCCCCUUUUUUUUUUUUUUUCAAUUACAGUGUGAUGGAGACAUUAAGGAUGAGCAUAAUAGUUAAAGAUGACUCAUUUCUCAUUUUCUUUUUAAAGUGCUCUGCUGAAAGCCAAACUUCCUUUGGCUAAUUAAUUUAGAAGUAAAGCAGAGAAUAAAGUCCUAGAUGCCUUCUGAAAUUAGAAAUACAUUUUAUAUGCUUUAAUUAUGAUUAUUUGGUAGACUAAAGACCUAAAAGAUAUGUCAAAAGUAUAAAACAGAGCGAUUAAAGAAAAAAGAAAAAAAAAACAGAGCAUUUGUGACGUAGAACAAUUGGUAAAUAAAUCCUAAAUAUUUGAGUUGUUAAAAGCAAAUAUAACAGAGACAGUAAGAGAGAUGCUGAAACAGAAAACUAUUAGCUUAUCUUGAUUUUCCCACUAUAUUCAUUUUCGAUGCUUUUCAAACGAGAUUCUUUUAAUUCUUCUGGUGUCUCUUAUAGAUCUCCAUCCCACAUCUGCACUACGAACAAGUUGAUUAAAAUUAAAUACUGUUGGAGAUGUGGGGUGAGCGGUCAACUUGGUAAAAAAACUAUGUGUAAUAUUGUUAAUAAUAUAAAAUAUAUAAUAAUAAUUACAAAGAAUCAUAAAUUAGAAAAAUUAUUUAUUUUACAAUCUAUUUCUUAAGUAAGAUAAAUCUCGUAAUAAGUUAAGUUAUAAUGUAAAAAAUAUUUUCAAUUUAUAAUCAUUUAAGGAGUCAUUUAACAAUAAAAUCUUUCUUUUUUUGAUCAAUUGGUCAUGGUACAGAGCAUCAUCUAUAUUCAUGGUGAUAUUAUUAUUACUCCGUAUUCUCAAAAAACACGAUUUAACAUUUAGAGAAAGUUCCUACCUUUUAAAAAGAACAUGUAUGCAACAACUACCCAUACUUUAUCUUACCACGACAAAACUAAUAGUGACUAAAUCAAUUUUCUCGAAUAAAGCAAAAUUUCUUAAAAUUAAUUUAAUAUACAAAUAUGAUGACUUUUUGCAAAAAUUAGUUUUGGAAAAUUAGUGACAGAAAAUAGUAAUGAUUAUUGUUUAGAUGUGUAAAUAGCCUAAACAUGAUCCCUAAUACCAAUAUCCACGUGCAUCUUAACACCUUUCGUCAUAUUCUUUCAUUCAUGGUCACUGGUUCAAGAUUUGAAUUUGAUCAUUAAAUAUGUUCAAUAAUAUUAGAGAUCCCAACAAUUGAGUACCAACUUAAAUCCCAAUGCUAUGUGUCAUUAACAAAUGUUGUGUCAUUUAUAAUUAUUGAAUGAAUAAUUCGUUAAUUUAUUGAUAAAUGAAAAUUUAUUAAUUUAAAGAGAGAUAUUUUUUUUUUUGGGUUUUAAGAAGAGUUUUGUUGGUACAUGUACAUACUUAUAAAGAAAUAAACUUGUAAUUAUACUAUAUCUUUCUUUCUUUAUUCAGUUUGGUGGGAUAUUGUGAUAAAUCAUUGGAUUAAAAUGCAUUUCUAAAUUAAAACUUGUUAAAAUCUAAUUUAUUUGGGAAGCGCAUAUUAUUUGUCAGUCGUACUUCUCAAGUCUCAACUUAGCAAGUUAUUUCUAACUUGUCAGUCUCUAUUGGUUCUCUAAAGCUAAUAGUCUCGAAUCUCCCGCAUUUGAUAUCUUGCCAUUAUUGUUGGCAUUAACAUGUUACCUGAGAUUGGGAUUCAUUAAAAUCCUCAAUGUAAUCGGUGGAACGAAUGGAUUUCUUCUGUUCACCAAUCCACCAAAAUUUCUGUAAUUAAAUUCAAGAGUCAAGAUCUAUGCUUAUAAUCUAUUCUAACAGCUAAUAUUCUAUUUUAUAUUUACUUAAAUAUGAAGAGCUAUGCUUGUCAUUAACUUCAAAUGUGAUCGAAGCAGCCUUACAUCUGUAUAUUACUUAUUCCCAACCUUUUUUUUUUGACUUCAUAUACUUUAUUUUCAUGUUAUUUACUCUUUUUUUCCCCUUUCUGACAAUUGAGGUAGGGGGUCAAACUUGAAAGUAUCUUAAAAUCAGACAAAUUUUUUUUUUUUUAAGAUAGCUGCUAAUAUGCUCUAUUAGACAAUGACAAGUAAUAACCUAGUUGUUUGCAUUAGAAAUGAUAUUUUUUGUGGUGCUGAUAAAGAGGUUGAUUAUGAUUCAACAAUUUAAAAUAUGAAAACAUGUGGAAGACGGCCGCAAUUAAAUUGAUUGUAUGAAAAUAUUUCAAUGAAAUUUUAAAAAUUUAGUACUUGUUAUCUUAUCGAGAGUUUUUUUAAAUUAUAUUACUACUUGAACUUGGCUGCUUUUGUAUUGAAUUCCCAGCGUUGCCAUUGCUUCUACUCAAAAGCCAUUUAAGUUUGUGUAAGCUACCUAUAGUUUGAACAACAAUUUACUCAUGAAUUGUUGUUCAUAAUAGCAAUUUGAUUGAAAGUGCGGCUGCACUAAUUUUCUAGAUGAAUUUUUUCCUACAUGCUUGUUCUCGUAUGACCCAAAAUCCUGCUACAUCAGUUGUAUUAGAAAUUAAUACUGGGUUACAAUUAUGCAUCCCCACCAAUAUUUCUUGAGGAAAGAAACUCAUAUCGCCCCUAGGCUUUUAAUGAGGCUCAUUUUUAUGAAUCUGGAUGGCAUUAGAUAUCUCUCCGAAUAUUGGUGGGAGUAUAUCGCAGAUCAAUGGGCUAUACUACAAAGUGUAUGUACGUUGACUCUCAAUAAAUACAAACGAUUCUCUGAUAUGAUUCAAAACAUCAGUGCACGCAUCAUUUUAACGAGAGAGAAUAUUCUAAGAACGAAAUUGAAGGUGCAAUCAGCAACUAAAAUGAAGCCAGAAAUGUACACGCAUGAGGAAGUUUUCCUAGAAGAUUGAUAUUUCUUUAACUAGCAAACAAUACAAGUCCAAAGCUAACCAAACCAUACCUGCAAGUCCGGGGCUUAAAUGGAGUACUUGUAAGCAUAAAACAUUAAUCAAAACACAGUAUAGACACACACACACACCCCUACAUACAUACCAGCAAAUUCGAAAUAGAAAAAGGAGUGCAACUAUUCAAGUUUGUUGACAAUAUUGCAACCAUGGCAUAUUAAAGCAAAUCCUUAAAAUCAGCUAAACGAAACAAUGCCCUGUCUCAUGAAUCGAUGCUCAACUAAAAAUUGAAAUUGAAAGUCCGGCUGGUGUUGUUAUUAGAUAGAUAUAACAAGAUCUUUCUUUGACAGUUCUUAUUAGAUAGAUAUAAAAAGAUCUGCUUUGACAGUUCUUAUUAGAUAGAUAUAAAAAGAUCUUUCUUUGUUUCUCUGCUGUAAUUUGUGGCUAUCCCACUCUGUUUUGCCAGUCAAGCUGAGUCUACGUUGAGACAUAAUUUUGACAUCAGAAGCGGCCUCAAUUAGUUUGGCAUUUUUAUAACCUCCUUGAAGGUUUUACGAUAAACAUAAAUCUACUGACAAAGUGGGCAAAAAGAAAAUGCAUGUAAAAGUAUGAGUUAUCAAAUAAGAUUAAAACUCACCCAAUUCAAUCCAUCAGAUUCCGUAAGGAUACAACUGGAUGUCAUACCGCCACUCCAUAUUCUCGAAAGUCCGUAGUCCUUGUCUCAACUGUGUCUGGGGCCAGUGUAAGUCCAUUUUUGCGCAAGCUCUUUAUGCACCACAGCUCUUCUGGAAGCUUUCUCAAGUAAGCACACGGGUUGACAAUUAAGCAUUCAAGUUUCGGCAUUGCUCCAGCCCCCAUCGUCCACUCAUCUAGCCAAUACAUUGACUUCAGGUGCAAAACCUUAAGUUCGGGAAAGCUACUCAAGCCAACACAAGCAAGCUUUCUUCCUAAAUACGAGUUCUGCUUCAGUUUCAGCACUCGAAGGCGUGGAAGAUUUUCCAGAAUUGGCAUGGGAUCCUCCAUUAGCUCAGUAUUUGAUAAGCUCAGUUGGAUCAGACUUGGGGGAAAUUGGUAUUCAGACAGGACCAUCCGUGAGGGCUUGCUCUCAUUCACCAGCUUCAAGCAUUCAAGUUUGUGGAGUUCGCAUAGGCUUUUGGAAACCCCUGAAUGAUAGCAACUCAAAUCUCCAGAUAUCCGAAGAGUUUGAACAUUAGGUAGUCUGCCCAAUAUAUCAGGAGUACAACUACUGGGGUUUAAAGUUGAUAUGAAAAUGAGAUUUUUCAGGGAGCUAGAAUAAUUUUUUGGAGGUGCGGGCAGAGUGAUAGAACCAAAGUUUAGAUGCAUGAGUUUUUGCAUCUUCCAAAUAUCCUCUGGUGACUGAUCUAUGUAGCUAGAUGGCAUUUCUAGUGUUUGAAGGUUUAAAAGGGUGCAUAGCAGUGAAGGAAGGCAUUUGAGCGAAGGGAUAUUCAAUUUCAAAUACUUCAAAAGGAAUAAAUUUUCUAAUCCGGGUGGAUAUUGGUCCAGGACUGCAGAACCCAAGUUCAGUACCCGAAGGUAUUUGAACCUUUUAAAAAAAUUCUCGCAAUCUUUCGGAUUAAGAUGAUAUCUUUUUGGACUGUGAUUGAGAAAAGAUUGGAGAUACAUGUCAGAAUGUUCUAAAGAAAGGAACUCAAUCAAAUCAUCGACAAUGAAGCACCGUUUAACAUUUGCGGGUGGUUCCUCUUCCACGUCAUGCAUCCAGACAAAUCCCGUCUUCUUUGCCACCACAAACAAUGAAGUGUAGUAUACAAUACUUGGAAAAUAACACGAUUUAAUUGUGCCUCCGGCCCUUCUUUUACUCACUUGAAUGAAGCCGCGAUGGAUUAGUUCUUUCAAGUAAUGUUCGGCAGUUUCUUCACUGUUGUAUGGUAUGAAACCUUCAGCUACCCACAAAUGAUAUAAUUGCCUCGUGGAUAUCUCAAUGCCUGGAGGGAAGACACACAAAUAGAUGCAGCAGAUUUUCAAGUGAAAAGGUAACUCCAACACAGAACAAAUUCCAAUGAAAAUUGUCGGAAUCGUUUCGCCUUGAACAUAAUUUUCUAAUGGCAUACUUCCAUAGUGUAGGAUGAAAAAUUGCCAGGCUUCAUGCUUUAAUCUGAUCAAUGGUCCUCCAAUGAGCACCGAAUCAAGCCGAAUCUUCUCUCCAUUUUCCAUUUCAAGCGACGCAAGGAGGUCUGGAUCAGUGACUGUUAUCAAUACUCUGCUUCCAUUCUGAUUAUCAGGAAGAACUUCUUCAAGAUCAUCCCAUAUGUCAAUGUUAUCGCAGACAUCAUCAAGCACAAUAAAGUACUUCUUGUUUGUUAGGUAAUCUCAAAGAAUAGAUUCCUUGAAUUGAUAAUCUUCACCGAUAAUUACACUAACCCGAGAUGGAGGCAUCACAGACUUGAUUAUGUCAUCCAAUAUCUUGCCCAAAUCGUAGAAUACAGAAACCCUGACCCAAGCAAGACAGUCAAAAUAGAACCUGACAUGAUUAUUGUUGUAAGUAUCUGCAGCAAAAGCAGUCCUAUCGAAGCCACUGCUGUCGAGAAUUGCAACCACUGCAAGCCCAGAUGGUCCCUCAAUCAAUAGAUCAAACAACUUCUCUCUGCCCCUUUCAAAUUCACUGAUAUCGAGCCGAGGUUGUCCCUCAUUCAAUAGGCGAAUGAUUUCGUUACUUUUUUCACUGAUAUCAAAACCAUUGUCGCCGGGCGGAAGUUGUUGCAUCCGAUUUCUAAUAUCAAUGAUUUCACUGUGGACAUGAAGAGCCAUAUUAGUGCUGCUUUCACUUUCGUUUUCACUGUUUUGCUGCUGCAUUAUGUUGAUGAAGAAUCUGUCAAUGGCUUCCUCAGAUUCAUGGACAAAGUCAUUGAUGUGCACCAGAAUUUCCAAAAUAUCUGGUCUUUUAACGUCUUCUUCAUCGCUUUCUUCUAAGUCCAACAGUUGCAAAAAAGGAAAAGAUAUUUCGAAGUCAUCGAAUUCUUCUAGAAUGAGUUGAAACAAAUGCCGAGCCAUGUCAGCUUCAUAGUUUCCCAGAAGAGUAGCAGCAAUAAUUUCGGACUCCGUAAGAAGGUUUUGAAAAAGUGGGGUUAAAUUUGUUGAAUCUGGCAGCGGCAACGUGCCUUCUUCACCUGCUAACACCCUUUUCAACCUCUCACAAAUCAGUCGGAGGUGGAAUUCCAGCAUUUCUCCUUCUCUCCGUAGCACUCAAUUAGAAUUAUCUUCGAAUUCUAAUUUAAUUGACUAAGUAGUUAUAGCUAUUCUAUUGAUUAGGUCUAGCUAUUAUAUUCUAAAUGAUUAAUUGAGAGGUAUAGUUGAAAGAUUAAACACCAUGGAAGAAUUUGAAAGGAAAAUGCCAAGAAACUGUGUAAGUGGCUAAAUUCCACAAAUAUGACAUUAUUGCUCAUUUUUUAACUCAAAAAAAGGGUACGCAUUCAUUUAGAGAAAAGUCCAAGACGCGUGCUUUUUAAAAAGAACAGGUAUCCAACCUCUAUCUUAUUAAAUUACAACCAUGACAUAAUUGAUGGUGCUUAAAUCAAUUGUUUCUUUUUUAAUUUAAAGAAUUUUUCAUUAAAAAAAUAUUUUAAUAUCAAAUUGCCUUCAGUGGCGUAACUGCCUCAGGCCCAGUAACAGGACUAAUUAAAAAUUUUACAAUUUUUGGGCAUGGAAAUAGUAGUAUUAAACAUUAGAAAGGUAAGGUUGUUCUGUUAAAGAAUUGAUAUUGACAUAAUUUUAUUUUGGUUUUCGUGGAAAAAAAAUUUGUUGACAAGUAAGAAAAUAUUUUUAUUUUUUAAAAUUUAUUAUGCAUAUUUUAUCAUAUUAAAGUAAUUUUAAUAAUAAAUAGAAACAUAAUAUUACAAUAAAUAAAUUAUAGUUUAAAUUAUUUUGAAUAUUAUAAAAAAUAAUGUUAAUAUUAUUAAUAGGAAGACAUUUUGUUAAUUUUAAAAUCUUUUUAAUCCAAAGGUUUAUUUAAAAUCUCUAUAAUAAAUACAAAUAUAAGAUUAAAAUAAAAAUCAUAAUUUCAAAAUUUUAAUAUUAUUUUAAAUGUUAAAUAUACUUUAAUGUUAUUAGCCUACUACGUAGAUUUUAUUAUUUAUAUUAUAUUCGUAUUGAUUAAAAUUUUUUAAAGUCAAUUUUUUAGUUAGUACAUUCAAGAGGUAUCAUAGUUAAAGAAAAGAUUUUGGUGCAACUGUUUUAAAAUUUCAGGGUAUAAAUGAUAAUUUUUUUUAAAAUUUUAAGGAAGUAGGUAUUAUUUUUCCGACAAUUUAUUUUAUUUUGAGGGAAAUCCGAUGAGAAAUAUCAUCAGAGAACAUUAAUUUAACAUUCUUUACCUUUAUGAAAAAAGUGGAAACCAAGAACUAUUCAAAUUUUUUUUUUUUGUGUAAUUCAAAAAAUGCAUCCACCAAACAAGCUUAUCAUAAUUUUCCCACUUUAUUCAUUUUCGAUGCUUUUCAAAAGAGGUUCCUUUAAUCCAUCUAGCAUCUGCAGCCCCCACUAUUUUACAAAUCUCCAUCCCACAUCUACACUAUCAAAAAAGUUGAUGGAAAUUGAACCCAUUAAGUUAUGUUCAUUACUGGUCAUUAUCUUUCUAUGAGCCACUUAUUUUGAGCAUUAGCGAUCUUCUAAGGAAUCAUGCCUUUUCAGGAUCGUUUUCUUUCAUUUCCUUAUUGUAGUAGUUAAUUAAAUAAAGAACGAACAAGUGAACUUUGUCUAUUUCGAGGAAGAACUAGGUUUCCAACACUAGAGGAACUUUGAAGAAAAUUAAUUGGAAGCCUUUAUUCAUCUUUGAAGAAAAUUACGUGCCAAUGUAACCAAGGCUUUUAUUCAUCUUCGGACUAUGAAUUUAUACAAAAACAUUAACAGAAAAUAACAAAGACACAGCUAAAUGAUAGCAACAAGUGUUGAUUUAGUGGACCACUUCUACAAGUAAAUAAAAACUAAAUAUUUAUUUAAGGAGGGCUUUUGUUAGUAGAGUUUUUAUAAAUAGAAAUUUAACAAAAAAAAAUUAUAGUUAUUUAGUUGUCAAUGUCCAAAUUGAUGAAUUAUUGUUCUUUUUGUUAACAUGUGUUUGUUUUACUUAAUAAUAAAAGUUUAGUUUACAAUUACACCGGUGUCAAAUCAGCAGAGCAUUUUUGCAGCCAGUCACAUUAUACAUUAUAUACUAAUAGCAUCGGCAAGAGUUUUCGAUUGUUGCAACUUGCAAUGCACGCGAUGCGAGAAAAUGAGAAUCUUGUUUAAUUGCAAUAAUGACAAACCUAAUCCUUUCAUUAGGAGUAAAUUAAUAAUCGUUUGUUAUUAUUGAAUAUGUAUAAAGAAAGGACAAUUCUAUUCAUAGAUUCGACUUAUUUUUUGUUUAAAGUAAUUAAUCAUUCAACCAUCUUCAUUUGCCUCUGGCCAAUGCCCUUGUAGAUUAGUUGAAGCGUUUAUUACUUAAUUCAGAUAAUUACAACGUCCUUUUCGCUAAUUAAUUAUGAUUAUGAACAUUUUCAUAUAGCAAGUGGCAUUGUAGAUCUAAACUACGUUGCUAUUUCAAUACGUUAAUUAAGUGAUUCUCCUCAUUGUCAUCAACGUUAUAAACAGGAAUUGUGCAAACAGUACACAAUGCUGCAGCAAGGCGUGGGUGGCUAGAGUUUUGCAACCACCCUUGAGAUCCUGUGCUGCCAGUAGUAAAAGAAUUUUACGCCAAUUUGGUAAGCCCUGGUCAGCACAACAUUUGGGUAAGAAACUCACUUGUUCCAUUAGACUCUCGAGUUAUAAAUGUUUUUUAUAAUUUACCUGCUGAAAUUAAUUGUGAGUAUGCCAAGUUGCUUGACAAAUUGACCCCGCAACAAUGGAACACAAUUUUCACGACACUUACGGUAGAGGGUGCAUCGUGGGCUAAUGAGGAGGGGCAUGUAAUUAACAAGAUAGAUUUAAAACCCAUUGCUAAGGUGUGGGUGAAAUUUCUAAAAUCCAGGCUUAUGCCAACCACCCACACCACUACUGUUUCACAGGAAAGGUUGGUGCUGUUAUAUGCUAUUGUUAGAGGGCUUCCCAUAGAUGUGGGAAGCAUUAUCGAAAAAGAAAUUCGAGAUUGUGCCAUGAAAAACCACAAGGCUGCUGCCUUGUUAUUUCUUUCACUCAUAACCAGCAUAUGUGUAGUAUCAGGUGUUCGUCUUGAUGCAAAGGAUGAAAUUUGUAAUUAUAUUAUGGCUCCAUUUGGUAUAACUUUUUAAUUCGAACUUAUUUAAGGAGAAUUUUUAUUAGUAGAGUUUUUAUAAAUAGAGAUUUUACUAAAAAACAAAAAUUAUAGUUAUUUAGUUGUCAAUGUCCAAAUUGAUGAACUAUUGUUCUUUUUGUUAACAUGUGUUUGCCAGUCACAUUAUACAUUUUUGCAACUUGCAAUGCAAGCGAUGAGAGAAAAUGAGAAUCUUGUUUAAUUGUCAAUAAUGACAAACCUAAUCGUUUCAUUAGGAGUAAUUUCAUAAUCGUUUGUUAUAAUUGAAUAUGUAUAAAGAAAGGAAAAUUCUAUUCGUAGAUUCGACUUAUUUUUUGUUUAAGGUAAUUAAUCAUUCAACCAUCUUCAUUUGCCCCUGGCCACUGCCCUUGUAGAUUAGUUGAAGCGUUAAUUGCUUAAUUCAGAUAAUUACAACGUCCUUUUCGCUAAUUAAUUAUGAUUAUAUACGUUUUCAUAUAGCAAGUGGCAUUGUAGAUCUAAAUUAUGUUGCUAUUUCAAUACGUUAAUUAAGUGAUUCUCCUCAUUGUCAUCAAGUGGAAAAUAGCUCAAUUGUUUCCCUGCAUCGAUUUUCAUUGGUAAGUGAUUUCUUAUGAUAUUCGUUUGAGCUUUCCUUAUUAAAAAAGCUUGAGCCUUGAUCACCUAAUACUGAUAUCAAUUAACUUGUGAACGAUUUUGUAAUGAAAUUAGGAGUUAAAUAUAUAAGAUUUUUACGUGAUGAAUUUUGAUUUUUUUAAUUUUUUGAUGUAGUCAAUUUGCUAAUUUUAUAUAUUUCAUAUUCAACGGAAUUUGGGCACGGAAAGUUUGGAUUCUAAUAUUUAUAUAUUUAGCUUUAAUCAGCUUGACUUUAGCAAUCUUUUUCCCUCAUCAUUAAGGGAUUCAGAAUUAGAGAAACGCUAGGAAGAGGAAGAAAAUAACUUUGGAAGUAAGUAAGAGGGAAAAAAUUAUGAAAUUUGGAAUUAUUUUUUGUAAAGUAUGUUGCGUUUACUAAACUGGAAUUAGAAUGAGCUGAAAUCAGAAUGAAUAGGAAUGCGAAUGUGCUGAAAUCGGAAUAGGUAAUGAGAAUAAGAAUAAGUUGUUUACUUGAACUGUAAAAAUCAAAAUCGGAAUGAGCUGAAUUGCAAUUACUUUGUCUUGGAAUCGGAAUCGGAAUCGGAAUGAGUUAGAUUAUAACAAAUUACUGAAAAGUACUUAAUGAAUUAUUGUCAUAAUUAUUAUUUUAUAUUUUAAUUAUAGUGAUUAUUUAUUCAAAAAUUAUUAUUAUUAAUUAUUUCCAAUAAUAUAUUAAUAUGUUAAUUAAUUUUAAAAAUUAUUAAUUAAUUUAUUAUAAUAAUAUACUAAUUAAUUAUAAUUAUUAUUAUAAAAAUAUAUUAAUAAUAAAAUUACUAAUUUAAUUGUAAUAAUAUAUGAAUUAAUUAUAAUAAUUAUUAUAAUAGUAUAUGAAUUAAUUAUAAUAAUUAUUAUAAUAGUAUAUUAAUUAAUAAUAAUAAUAAAAAUAUAUUAAUUAUGUGAUUAUUUAUUCAAAAAAUAUUAUUAUUAAUAAUUAUUGUUAAUAAUGUAUCAAUAUACUAAUUAAUUAUAAUAAUUAUUAUAAAAAUAUAUUAAUUAUUAAUAAUAAAAUUACUAAUUUAAUAAUAAUAAUAAAAAUAUAUUAAUUAUGUGAUUAUUUAUUCAAAAAUUAUAAUUAUUAAUAAUUAUUGUUAAUAAUGUAUCAAUAUAUUACUUAAUUAUAAUAUAUUAAUUAAUUAUAAUAAUAUAUUAAUUAAGUAUAAAUGAGGACAAAGUGGGUAUUUUUAAUUUCACGAAGGGGCAAAAUGGUCAAUUCUAGUAAUGGGAGACUCACUCCCACCCUCUCCUUUGGGAAUGAGUCUCCCAUUCCUCAUUCCCAAAUUGUGGUGGGCCCCAUGAUUUUGACUCCGAUUUCUAACUCAAUUUUGCGAAGUAAACGCUACCAAUGAUUCCGAUUUCGGAUUCUGAUUCACUUAUCUGAGAAGUAAAAGCAACAUAAAUGUGUAUGAAUAAUUGAUACCUAUGAAUAGUUUUGGGAGUUUUAGCUAGGAGUCAUCUAUUGAAGAUGUUUAGCAAUUGAAGAUCUCUGUCUCAGUAGUUUUCCCAAUCAAAAUCAAGAAGCAAAAAAACUUGCCAUUUUUCUACUUGAUAAUUAAUUGAAAUUUAAGAAAAUACAAUGGCAUUUCAAUUAGAAUUGGUAAUUGUUUAUCUUUUUUCAUUGAUCAAAUUCUAAUCGUGAUCCAAUAGUUAUGGAUGAAGGAAAUAUUAUGAGAGGCGAUAGGCCAAGUGAAGACGUACCAGCAAAUUCAAAAUAGUCGGGAGGUGGACGUCCAGCAUAUCUCCUUCUCUCUGUAGCACCCAGAUGCAUUGUUAUUUGCUCCAAGAAAUGUUAAAAGGAUUGGCCCUAUCUCAAUGUGGUUAGUGGCAAGGGCGGAGACAGCAUAUUAAUUGACUGUGGGCUUACUCAACUGCGAUAAAAAAAAUUUAAAAAAUAAUAAAUAAUAAAUUUAAAAGAUUUAUCAUACUUCAAUAUAUGUUUAUAAUUAUCCUUUACGAGUUUUCAUACAUUGAUAACGUUGUAUUACAACUUCAUUAUCAAUAUUAUUGUGGGCUGUUUAAAAAUUUGAUUAAUAUUAAUAUUUAUAGGCUUGAUUUUAUUUUGUAAAGCCCAUCUCUUUUUAUUUGUUUUAAAAACUUAGAGUGUGAGAAUUUAAGUAUAAUUAUGUAUUAGGAACUUGAAUAUAAAUUAGUGGGGGCUUAGGAAAAAUUUAUUAGAAAUUUUUGGCAAAUCAAAUUAGUUAGUAAAAGAUUUUUUUUUUUUUUUUCAGUGGGGACUUAAGUCCCCACUGGUCCCAAGCUAGAUCCGCCACUGGUUAGUGGUGAAAAAUUAAACACCAUGGAAGGAUUUGCAAGGAAUAUGCCAAGAAACUGGCUAAGUUCCACAAAUAUGGCAUUAUUGCUCUUUUUUUUUUAAAGAAAAAUUAUACACGUUAAUUUAGCAAAAAGUCUAAGACACGUGCCUUUUGAAAAGAAUAGCUAUUACCAUGACACAAUCGAUGCGGCUGAAACCAAAAUUUUCUUUUCUUAAUGUAAAGUUUUUUUUUUAAAUAGAUUUUAAUAUCAAAAUGCCCUUCGAUGUUAUUACUCUCACAAGCCCUGUAACAGGAGUAAUAAAAAAGUUUAGAAUUUUUGGGCAUGAAAAAAGUAGUAUUAAACAUCAGCAAGCAAAGGUUGUUCUGUUAAAGAAUUGAUAUUGACGUGAUUUUAUUUUGGUUAUCGAGAAAAAAAUAUAUUUGUUGACAAGUAAGAAAAUAUUAUUAUAUUUUACAAUCUAUUAUACAUAUUUUAUUAUAUUAAAUAAUACUAAAUAGAAACAUAAAAUUAGAAUAAAAUAAAUUAAAAUUAAAAUUAAAAUUAUUUUGAAUAUUAUGUAAAAAAUAAUGUUAAUAUCAUUGUUACUUGUAAAAUAUAUUUAGCCUAAAGAUUUAUUUAAAAUUUUAUAAUGAAUAAAAAUAUAAAAAUAAAUUAAAUAUCAUAGUUUAAAAUCUUAAUAUUAUUUUAAAUAUUAAAAAUACUUUAAUGUAUCUUAAUAUUAUUUUAAAUAUUAAAAAUACGUUAAUGUUAUUAUUCUACUACACAUGUUAUAUUAUUUAUAUUAUAUUUGUAUUAAUUAAAAAUUUUAAAGUCAACUUUCUAGUAACUAUAUUCAAAGGUAUUAUGGUUAAAUAAAGGUCUUAGUGUUUCUUUUUCAAAAUUUGAGGGUCUACAUGAUAAUUUUUCCAAACCCUAAGGUAUAGGAGUCCUUUUUGUCAAUAAUUUAUUUCACUUUUGAGAGAAUACGAUGAGAAAUAAGAUCAGAGAAAUGUCAAUUUAAUGUUCUCUAGCUUAAUGAAAAAAAAAUGGAAACCAAGAACUAUUCAAUUUUGUAUUUUUUGUUUGUAAUUCAAAAAAUCCAUCCGCCAAACAAGAUUCACGCAUUUAUGUUGUCAUAAAAUGAAAAAACAGUUUGUGAAAAAAUGGCACCAAACAUACCCUUAAUGUCCCACAUGAUUUCUUAUGAAGCCCAUAUUAGAUAUAUUUAUACAUUUUACUGCAUUUAGGACAUGUUUGAUAGCCUGCAUUAUAUAGGAUAAAAACAUAAUUUUGUAUUAAAUUAAUGCACACUCACGUUUGGCGCUAAAAGUAACUCCAGCCGCAUUGCAUUAAUGGGCUGCUACUGCGGCAAUUGCCGCACUAGCUUGCCUCUUUUUCUUUUUAAUUUUAUUUAUAAUAAUAAUAAUAAUAAUAAUAAUAAUAACAUAAUAUAACUUUUAUUUUAAUAUAAUAUUAAGUAUAAUUUUUAUUUUUACAUUAUAAUUAUUGAUAUAAAUUAAUAAAUUUAUUAUUUAUUAUUCAAUAAUAUUAUAUUAUUAUUUUUUUAUUUUUACAUUAUAAUUUAUUAGUAAAUUUAUAAUUUAAUAUAAUUAAUGAUAAUAGAAAAUAUCAUUACAUGUACUACAAAACUCUUACUUGGAUUAUUUAACACAAUUUAUUUUAUUCGUGAAUAUGUUAUAACAAUUGUAUCACUUUAUUGUUUUGUUAUUAUUUUGUGGUAUGUAUAAAUUUUUAUUCUAUUAUUCAAAGAUGACUUUUGAACUAAUCUUAUAGGUUUUAACUAUUUAUUUAUGUUGUUAUAUUAUUAGAGAUUAUUUGAUUAAAUUAUUUGCUUCGAUCUUUAUUUUACAGGUCAUAUAUUUAGAAAUUACUGAAAAAUAAAUGUUCUACUUCCAAAAAAUUUAAGGCUAUAAGCUCGAUCUUUAUGAAUAAUUGUGAUAUUUUUUAACAUUUACACUAAAAAAAUUGUUAAAUUUCUAAAAUUUAAGACUUCUAUAUUUAGUAUUUUUCCAAUUACUAAUAAGUAUUAUUUUCUAAAUAUAUAAUUUAAAUUAAUCACAAAAAAUUAAUACAGUACAGUGCAAUAUCAAAUAUAAUAUAAUUAAAAAUUAUACAGUACAAUGUAGCACCAAAUAUUGUACAAUAUUAUUAUAAAAUAGUACUGAUGCAAUACAAUAUAAUACAAUAUAGUGUGCCAAACGCACCCUUAGAGUGUGUUUGGAACAUGGGAUUAUAGGGUAUUAAAACACUGUUCACAUUAGCUUAAUACCAAUAUCAUGUUUGGAAAGAAAUUUUAAGGGAUUAAAGGGGGGUGAGCUAAUGCCAUAACUGCGCCAUUAGUGUCUUGGUUUUUUUUUAAAUAAUAAUAAAAAAUAUAAAUUCCUAAUUUUAUGUAAUAUUAUAUAAUAUUAAUUUUUAUUUUCUUUGAUCUUUACAUUAUAGUAAUUAAUAUAAGUUAAUAAAUUUAUAAUUUAUUAUUCAUAUUUUAAUUUUUAUUAUAUUAAAAAUAUAACUAAAUAAUUUAAUUUUAAUUAUAUAAUAAUUAAUGUAUAAAAUUGAUUAAUAUUUAAUAAGUUAAUACAACUAGUAAUAAGUGCUUAAAUAAUAUAUAAAAAUAAAAAUAUAACAUAAUAUUACAUUAUUUAAUUAUAUUACAAUAACUAAUAUAUAAAAAUUGAUUAUUAUUUAACAAUUUAAUAUAGCUAAUAAUAGAUACUUAAAUAAUAAUUUAAUAUAACUAAUAAUGAAUAUUGAUAUAUGAAUAUAUUUAAAUAAUAUUAAUACCAAUAUAUAUAAUAAUAUAAAAUAUUAUUACAUGUACUGUAGUAUUCUUACUUGGAUUAUUUAGCGCAAUUUAUUUUAUUAGUGAAUAUGUUACAACUAUUGUAUCACUUUAUUAUUUAAAUUAAUCAAAAAAAUUAAUACAGUACAAGAUAGCACUAAACAUUGUAUAACAUUAUUAAAAUACAGUGUUAAUGCAAUACAAUAUAAGACAAUACAUCUAUAUUAAAAUAAAAUAAAAUAAUUUAAUUUAAUAUAAUACAGUAUGUCAAACGCACCUCGUAUAUUUUAAUUUCAAAAGAAGUUGGUCCUUCCGUUAUUUAUAAAAGAUAACUUUAUUUUCAGAUUACCACUAAACUCUGAAGUAGAAUUGGUGUAAUGUUAAGAGAGAGUAACACAGUUUUCCAUUACCAUCUUUGAAAAUAGAAAGAUAUGGAUCAGUGUAUUUAAGAGUUAUCGUGAAAAUCAUACAGUUCAAUUCCCUGACACAUAUAUUUAUGAGCAUAUGCCAAAAGAAUAAAUAGAUAGAAAGUAAAUUUACAAUCCUCACUUCCUCACAAUUGUUAAAAUGAAGAUGCAUUACAACUGUGAACUGUCACUAUUUUAGCCUUUUUUAUUUUUUACUUUUAGUUAUAGUGCGAUGGAGACAGUGAACAUCAAGGAUGAGAAUAAAAGUUAAAGAUGACCCACCCACUUUCUUUUUAAAGUGCUCUGCUCAAAGACAAACUUCCUCUGGCUAAUUAAUUUAGAUGUGAAGAGAGAAUAAAGUCCUAGAUGCCUUCUGAAAUUAGAAAUACAUUUUAUAUGCUUUAAUUAUGAUUAUUUGGUAGACUAUAGACCUAAAAGACAUGUUAGAUUAUAAAACAGUGCGAUUAAAAAAAAAAGAGUAUUUGUGACGUCAAAUAACAAUUGGUAACUAAAAUCCAAAAUAUUUGAGUUGUUAAAAGCAAAUAAAAAAAAAGAAGGUAAGAGUGAUGCAGAAACACAAUAUUAGCUUAUCUUGAUUUUCCCACUUUAUUCAUUCUCGAUGCUUUUCAAAACAAAUUCUUCUAAUCUUUCUGGUGUCUGCAGCCCCUUGUCACGGGACGAGAGGUUUCGAGCCCGUGCGGUACUCUCGCAUCCCAUACUGCGAGAGUAAACCUAGUGGAAGUGGCACAAUAUCGACUGGUUUCACCCUGUCUUGGGCUCAUCAGGAGAACGGCUCCAGUUCCCAACCAGUGUGUGAAGAGCUUCGCCUAAACCCCUCUUCAACGUUAAGUCCUUGACUAGCGACAAGCUCCCCAAACUCAACCAGGUUGGCCUGCCUGAACUCCAAGAAAUCUAGGAUCAUUGUAUUCCCCACACGACGCCCCUGAAGCACGUCUCCUACAAUCAGCACAACCCUUAUCGAUACCAGCGUACAAACGCAUAUCUUCGGCGUCACAAUUGCAGUCCGUGACACCCUGCUCUUGUUAUAAAACUCCACCCCAAAUCUACACUACAAACAAGUUGAUUGAAAUUAAACAAUUGCUUUUUGAAGUGGACCCAUUGAGUCGUGGUCAUUACUCGUCAUUGUCUAUUUUUUCUAUGAGCCAUUUAUUUUGAGCAAUAGUGAGCUUCUCUGAACUACUCCAAUUAUUGAUGUAACUCCAGUGGCUGCAUCCAUAGUUGAAUAUAUGACAGUAUUAGCUCUUAUUUGAGAAUAUAGGGGGAUCUUUCUUUGUUUCUUUGUUGCAGUGUUCUAGUUUAUAGUCUUGCUGUUAAUGAAUUCACUGAGGCAUUAUUAAUUUAAUUUCAGUGAAGUAAUUAUGGAUGAAAAAUAAAUAAAGGAUAACAGAAUAGAGCUGAAGUGCUGAAUCGGCUAUUAAAGAAAGUGUCACGUGAUCACAAUCACACUGAUGCACAACUCUCUCUAUGUACUCCAAAUUCAGCCAAACCAUACAUGCCUCAACAAAAUUAAACCGUAGUUCUCAUCACUACAGUAAAUGAAGCCCACAAAGACAGCUGAAAUGGAAAAUAUUGACUAUUGAAUGGAUCAAUGCUGAAUUACACUUGAAAUGGGAAGCUUGGCUGCGGUUACGAUGUUUCCCCCUCUGAUUUUUCUCCAAAACAAAUUCCGUUGUAAAUAAUAUUCAAUGUAGCAACACUUUAUUCAGCAAAGAAAAUACCUAAUUUUUCAACUAACAAAUUCUCUUGUCUAAACUAAAAAAACUCACAUCUCUCCAAUCUAUCUACAAAAUAUUGGAGAUGAGAGGUGAUUUGUCAACUCGAUAAAUAAAUUCAUGCAUAAUGUUACCAAUAAUGAUAAAUUACUUAAUAAUUCUUAUAAAGAAUCAUAAAUAAGGAACAUUAACCAUUUUACAGUCUAUUACAUAAGUAAGAUUAAUCUUAUAAUAAGUUAACUUAUAACGUAAUAAAUAUUUCAAUUCAUAAUUAUUUAAGAAGUCACUUAACAAUAAAAUAUUUUUUUAUUUAAUUGAUCAUGUCAUAUAACGUUAUCUAAACUCCUGACGAUAUUAUUAUUACUCACUUUUCUCAAAAAAACAUGACUAACGUUUAGAGAAAAGUCAUGCCUUUUAGAUAGAUAGAAUAUGAUUACAAGCUAUCCAUACUUUAUCUUACCAUGACAAAAUUGAUGGUGAUUAAAUCUAUUUUUAAAAUAGAUUUAAUGCACAAACAUGAUGACUUUUGCCAAAAAUUAGUUUCAGAAGAUAACUAAAUUAAGUUGCAAAGGAGCUUACUUCAAUUUCUAAGCUUUUCAAUCAUGAUUCCUCCAUGCCUUCCUCUGAUACCAUUUUGUUACGUGCCAACGUAAUUGACCUUGUAAUUGGUUUGUAUAAGGAAUGAAGCCCUUUCAAGAUCGUUUCUUUUGUGUCCAUAUUGUAGUAGACUAGUAGUCAAGUAAAUAAAGAGUGAAUAACUGAAUUUGGUCUAUUUCGAAGAAGACUAUGGCCUCCACACUACAAGAAAAUAGGCGAUAGAUAACGGGAAAUAACCGUCAUAAAAGGUGGUGUAUGACAGACAGUUUAUUCGUCAUCUAUGUCACUGUCAUUAAUUUAUGACAGAAUAUUUUCCGUCAUGAAUUCUUGAUGUUAUUUUACAAUCAUAUAUCCAUCACACAAUAUUUUAAUGAGAAAAAAUAAUUAAAUAAAAUUUGAAUUUAUUAAAAUUUUUGCUCUAUUUUUUAAUUUUUUGGCGGAAAAUUAAAUUGUCAUUUGUAAAUUUCUUAUUCAAUUUUGGUGGAAAAUUUUUUUAUGACAGACUUUAUGAUGUGUAUUUCCCAUCAUAAAGUUAAUUUUUUUAAAUUAUAUUGUGAUUAUAGUUUAUUUCUGAAUUCCUGUUUACAAAUUUAAUUAAUUAAUAAAAAAUGAAUAUUGUCAAAAAAUAAAAAAAUAAUAGUAACUAAAAUCCAUUCAAUCCAACAAAUUAAUUUCAAAAUAAAUACAUCUAAUAUUCAAUGUCAUUACCACUAAUACAUAAUAAAACAUCCCAAAUUAAAAAAAAGAAUGUCAAAAUAUAAAACAAUAGUUAAAUUCCAAUUAAAUUCCAAGAAAUGUAAUUCAAAUUCCGGACACCGAGCCAAGCUCCCCAGCAAAACUUCCAAAGAUUAAUGGAAAUAUUCCAAUAGCAAGACUUCCAGAAGCAAUACCCUCUUCCAGUGGCAAUACAUUGACUAAUCUUUGAAGCCAUGACUCCUCAAGCCAAUGCCAAAAAUGUGUGCAAAAUUAAUGCUCUAUCCACAAAAAUUUCAGUCUAUAUUGGUAAGAAGAAACAUGAAGAAACAAUUACCUCAGCAUCAUCGUCAUUGGAAGCCAAAUCAGCUGUAAAGACCACAAAAUGUUUGGUUAGAACUAGUGGAAGUCUUACUCUAAAACUUUUAAUUUUUGAAUUUCGAAAGAUCUAGUAAUGACAAAGAUUCUCAUAUCCAGUGACCAAGUUUUGAAAAUUAGAAUACGGAAUAACGUCAACUAAAUUCACUAAUAUAGGGUGCAUUUGAGAUUGAGGUUGGACAGCUGUAGCUUAAAAGCUACAGUAGUAAAGUGUUUGGUAAACACUAGUUGCUGUAAUUUAAAAACUAUGUUGAUAUGAUUUUUCACUUGUAUAAUGGAGAAUCUAUUUUUUUAAAUAAUUAUGUCAAAAUUAUUAUUUAAAAUUUAUAUUUACUACAUAUUAUUAAUUUUUGUUUCAUAGUCACAGUUUUUUUUCCACAGCAGUUGUAAAGCUACAUCACCUCAAUCCCAAACGCACCCUAAGCUAGAGGAAUCCCUAGUUGAUAUAGCACACAUGCACACAUGAUAUGCAUGCAUCAGAAUACACAAUAAUAAAUUAUCUCAAAGUCAAUAAGAAGCCAAAACUAGAGAUAAACCUUUAGCCACUAUAAGGAAGACUGAUAUUUGCAGUGUGAUUACAAUAAACAAACAGAAACUUCACUACCCAUAAGUAAAGCAAAAUAAAUAAAGGAUAAUAACUAACCAAGAAAUGGAAAAGCUCACAUUCUCUGAACACGCACCCCAAAAAGAAAGAAAGAAAUAAAUGUUCCCAUUGGAUCUGAAGCACAAGCAAUCCACUGACAUCCUUCUAUAAUUAGGUAAUUUAAAGGGGUUAAGCUCACAUCUUUUACGGAAGCAACAAGAGAAUUAACAACAUUCCAGAGGAUUUAGGGAAAAACCACGAGGCAAGAAAAAAGAAAGAUCCUUCUUCAAUCUAGAUAUCUUGACACUGCUCACCAUCUACAGCAGUCUGGGGCUUAAAAAGCAUGAUCUCUCCCCCCCUCUGGCACCAUUUUCUCUCAUGUGAAUCUGUCAUUGCCCGUAGAAACAAACCAGAACUGCAUAAAUUCUCUUAUCUUCCAGCAGCUUCUUUUCUCCAGAAAUAGGCACAACUAUUUGACAUGGAAACAAUUUAUCUAACAUGGCCACCUUUAAAGACAAAGACAUACUAAGGACAUGGUUUUAGAUACGGAUACAAGAAACAAUCACAAAAUGUAAAAUCUAUACAUAUGAUAUUAAUUUCCAAUGGAUACAGCACUUCAUUCUUUGACUUAACUUCAUUAGAUUACUAGGUUUGAUUAGGUUAUACACACAUUUAUUCAUUUAUGGUUUUCAACCUAUAAUCUACAUGCACUUAGAAUGAGAGGUACCUAUAAAAACAAGUUACCAGAAAACAAUACAGCUAGAAAACAUUAAAACAUUAAUCUAAGCAGUUCUAUAGGUUUAACUAACUGCAGGAAAAAACCGUUGAUUUUGUCCGUCGGAUUAUUGAGAUCCUAAUUCUGGUAAAAAGAAAAUGAGAUAAUAGAAAAUCAAAAAUUAAAUAGACACAAAAUGAGAAAUCAAGAUCAUACGGCAACUAAUAUAUAGCAUGGGCUGCAGCUAACAAGCAAUAUAAGCCAUGAUAUUAUGCCAGAUACAAAAUUUUGAGAUCCAAGAGAGAUCAAGAAGCAUGAAUAUUGAAAGAAGUGAGUGCAGAAGGAUAAGAAAUCAGGUUGAUAUUCUUCAUACUUUGGGUCAACACGUAGUGAUGCAAUAAACUUGUAAUUAGCUUCAAGUGUAUAGGCUACCAUGUCAACAUUUCCGAAAACACACAAGAUUGUGCUGGAUUCAUAUAUAGUACAUAUAUAAAAAAACAAUCUGCUUCUAAACUUCAUGAGAACAUCGAAUAAUGAACUUACAAUUUGAUCCCUCAUCAUCUUCAUCGCACCAUUUGUUCCAAUCAACCUUAAUGUAAGGUGCUGGUUUCUCUUCUGACUUGAGUAGCCUUUUCCACCAACCUUUCUCUUCUUUUUGCACCGAGCAUAUUAUGUUCCUUAAGCCAACUUUAGUCUUACAUUUCUGCACCACCAGCAACAAAAUUCAAAGCAUUACAAAAGAGGUAUAUUUAGCCGCUCUUGACUCGAGUGAGAGAACAGGAUAAACAGCCUAGGUAUAUCCACAUCCAUGUUAUGAGAUUAAUUAUGCAACAACUAACUUUAAUAUAAAGUUUGUGCUCCAACAAAGACUAAAAUGUUUGUAAUUGUUAUGCUUCCGGAGCUAAAAUGUUUCGCAAACACUCACUUUUACUCUGCAGCUAAUAUCUAGCACCCAGCCACACAAAGUCCGUAGUCUUUGUCUCAACUUUGUCUGAGGCCAAUGUAAAUCCAAUUUGCACAAGCUCUCUAUGCACCACAGCUCUUCUGGAAGCUUUCUCAAGUACGCACAAGGGUUGACAAUUAAGCUUUCAAGUUUUGGUAUUGCUCCAGCCCCCAUCGUCCACUCAUCUAGCCAAUACAUUGAUUUCAGGCGCAAAACCUUAAGUUCCGGAAAGCCACCCGAGCAAGCACAGGCCAGCUUUCUUCCUAAAUACAAGCUCUGCUUCAGUUUCAGCACUUGAAGGCGUGGAAGCUUUUUGAUAAGGAAAGGGAGCCACGGAGGUCAACAAAGGUUCAUAAGCCUAACUACAGAUACGAGGGCUUUGUUUGAACAUUCGUAAGUCUCAUGCAGCCAUGCAUGCGGUCAUGCAUGUUGCAUGCAAUACCAUGCAAGACUUAUUUACGCAUGGAUUAAAGAGUAGUCUGUUUCUAGUUUUUUAUUUAAGAUUGCUCAGUUAUUUAAAUUGAUUUUAGCCGUGAAUUGUGGCUACAAAUCCUUAGUAGUGUUUGUAUUAACUACUAUAAAUAAGCUCCAGCAAUUAAUAAAAGGAUUAUGCAAAAAAUUAUCUCAAAGUACUAUUCUUGGUCGUUUUCACCGUAAGUAGAACAACGUAAACUUAGCUAUUGUUGAACGUUUUUGAUUGGGACCUAUCACUUUUCCAGCCUUGGCAUGGGAUCCUCCAUUAGCUCAGUAUUUGAUAAGCUCAGUUGGGUCAGACUUGGAGGAAAUUGGUAUUCAGACAGGACCGUCCGUGAGAGCUUGCUUUCAUUCACCAGCUUCAAGCAUUCAAGUUUCUCUAGUUCGCAUAGGCUUUUGGAAAUCCCAGAUUGAUAGUAACUCAAAUCUCCAGACACUCUAAGAGUUUGAAGAUUAGGUAGUCUGCCCAAUAUAGCUGGAGUGCAACUACUAGGGUGUAAGGCUGAUAUGAAAAUGAGAUUUUUCAGAGAGCUGGAAUAAUUUUUUGGAGGCGCAGGCAGAGUGAUGCAACCGAAGUUUAAAUGCACGAGUUUUCGCAUCAUCCAAAUAUCCUCUGGUGAAUGAUCUAUGUAGCUUGAUGGCAUUUCUAGUGUUUGAAGGUUUAAAAGAGUGCAUAGCAGUGAAGGAAGGCAUUUGAGCGAGGGGAUAUUCAAUUUCAAAUACUUCAAAUGGAAAAAGUUUCUAAUCCGGGCGGAUAUUGGUCGAGAAUUGCAGAACCCAAGUUCAAUACCCCAAGGUGUUUGAACGUUUGACGAAAAUUCUCGCAAUCUAUCAGAGCGAGAUGAUCGCUUUCUGAACUGUGAUUCAGAAAAGAUUGGAGAUAGAUGUCAGGAUGUUCUAAAGAUAAAAACUGAAUCAGAUGUUCCAAAAUGAAGCACCGUUUAACAUUUGCCAGUGGUUCCUUUUCCCUUUCAUGCAUGCAGACAAAUUCCGUCUGCGCUGCCACCAAAAACAAUGGAGUACAUAAAAAACUUGGAACAUAACACGCUUUAAUUGUGCCUCCGGCUCUUCUCUUACUCACUUGAAUGAAGCCGCAAUAGAUUAGUUCUUUCAAAUAAUGCUCGGCAGUUUCUUCACUGUUGUAUGGUAUGAAACCUUCAGCUACCCACAAAUGAUAUAAUUGCCUCGUAGAUAUUUCAAUACUUGGACGAAAGACACACAAAUAGAUGCAGCAGACUUUCAAGUGAAAAGGUAACUCCAUCAAAGAAUAACUGUGUCUCUAAAUUGUCGGAAUCGCUACGCCUUGAACAUAAUUUUCUAAUGGCAUACUUCCAUAGUGUAGGAUGAAAAAUUGCCAGGCUUUAUGCUUUAAUCUGAUCAAUGGUCCUCCACUGAGCACUGAAUCAAACCGAAUCAUCUCUCCGUUUUCCAUGUCCAACAGCGUAAGGGGGCAUGGAUCAGUGACCAAUAUCAAUACUCUGCUUCCAUUCUGAUUGUCAGGAAGAACUUGUUCAAGAUCAUCCAAUACAUCGUCACUCUCUUCACAGUAAUCAUCAAGCACAAUAAAGUACUUCUUGUUUGUUAGGAAAUCUCGAAGAAUAGAUUUCUUCAAUUGAUAAUGUUCACCGAUAAUUACACUAACCCGAGAUGGAGGCAUCACAGACUUGAUUAUGUCAUCCAAUAUCUUGCCAAAAUCGUAGAGUACAGAAAUCCUGACCCAAGCAAGGCAGUCAGAGAAUUGCAACCACUGCAAGCCGAGGAUGUCCUUCAAUCAAUAAAUCAAACAACUCCUCUCUACCACUUUCAAAUUCGUUGAUAUCAAGCCGAGGUUUUCCCUCAAUCAAUAAGUGAAUGAGUUUGUCCCUUUGUUCAGUGAUUACGAAACCAUUGUCGCCGGGUGGAAGUUGUUGCAUCCGAUUUCUAAUAUCAAUAAUUUUACUGUGGAGUCCAACAAGAAGAGCCAUAUUAGUACUGCUUUCACUUUCUUCUUCACUGUUUUGCUGCUGCAUGAUGUUGAUGAAGAAUGUGUCAAUGGCUUCCUCAGAUUCAUGGACAAAGUCAUUGAUGUCCUUCACAAUUUCCAGAAUGUCUGAUCUUUUAACGUCUUCAUCGCUUUCUUGUAAAAAAGCCAAAUAUAUUUCGGAUUCAUCGAAUUCUCCUCUAAUGAGUUGAAACAAAAGCCGAGCCAUGUCAGCUUCAUAGUUUCCCACCAGAGUAGUAGCAAUGAUUUCUGACUCCGUAAGAAGGUUCUGAAAAAGUGGAGUCAAAUUUGUUCAAUCAGGCAACGUUAACGCGCCUUCUUCACCUGCUAGCACCCUUUUCAACCUCUCACAAAAUAGUCGGAGGUUCACGUCCACCAUAUCUCCUUCCCUCCGUAGCACUCAGAGAAGAUUGGUCCUAUCUCAAAGUGGUUAGUGCUGUAAAAUUAAACACCAUGGAAGAAUUUGAAAGGAAUAUGCCAAGAAACUGGCCAAGUGGCUAAAUUCCACAAAUAUGACAUUAUUGCUCAUUUUCUCUCAGACACGUGAUACACGUUGAUUUAGAGGAAAGUUCAAGAAUUUUGCUUUAAAAAAAAAAAUUGAUGGUGCUUAAAUUAUUAUUUUUUUAAUUUAAAGAGUUUUGCUUUUAAAAAAAAAUUAAUAUCAAAAUGCCUUCAAUGUUAUUACUGCCACAAGCCCAGUAACAAAACUCAUUAAAAAUUUUAGAAUUUCUGGCCAUGGAAAGAGUAGUAUUAAACAUCAGAAAGCAAAGGUUGUUCCGUUAAAGAAUUGAUGUUGACAUAAUUUUAUUUUGGUUUUCGGGAAAAAAAAAAUAUUUGUUGGCAAGCAAAGAAAAUAAUUUUAUACUUUACAAUCUGCUAUACAUAUUUUAUCAUAUUAAAGUAAUUUUAAUAUCUAUCAAAAAAAUAAAUUUAAUAAUAAUUGGAACAUAAUAUUACAAUAAAUAAAUUAAAAUUAUUUUAAAUAUUAGGAAAAAAAUAUUAUUAAUAGGAAGAUAUUUUGUUAAUUGUAAAAUCCUUUUAUUCCAAAUAUUUUAUUUAAAUUUUUUAUAAUAAAUAAAAAUAUAAAAUUAAAAUAAAUAUCAUAAUUUAAAUUUUUUAUAUUAAAAAUAUUUUAAUGUUAUUAGUCUACUACAUAAAUUAUAUUAUUUAUAUUAUAUUCGUAUUGAUUAAAAUCUUUUAAAGUUAAUUUUAUAGUUACUAUAUCCACAGGGUAUUAUAUUAUAUUUAAGAGUAAUUUUUUCAAAUUUUAGGAUUGCAGAUGUCCUUCUUCCGAUAAUUUAUUUCACUUUUGAGAGAAUCCAAUGAGAAAUAUGAUAAGAGAUGGUCAGUUUAAUGUUCUCUGCCUUUAUGGAAAAAAAGUAAAAAGUAAAAACUAUUCAAUUUUGUACUUUUUGUGUCCACCAAAUAAAUUUUACACAUUUAUGUUGUCAUAAAACGAAAAAAAAGGGUUUGCCAAAAAAUGGUACCAAGCAUACCUUUAAUGUCCCACGUGAUUUCUUAUUAAGCCCAUAUUAUAUAUAUUUAUACAUUUUAUUGCAUUAAACAUUUUUAUUAUAAAAGAAGUUGGUCCUUCCCCUAGUGAUAAAAGAUAAAUAUGAUAAUGUUUGAGAUGGGUUUAGUCUUUUAUAUUUGCUGAGUCCAGUGGGUUAAAGAAUUAGAGUAAAGCAUCUGGGCAUUCUUUCAUGCAAAACUAAAAAUCCUGAAAAUAGUUGGCUUUAACUGAUUAAGACAAGCUUGGUCGAAUUGAGUUGAACUUCAUAUAUAAAAGCCAAAUAUAUUGCGGAUUCAUCGAAUUCUUCUCUAAUGAGUUGAAACAAAAGCCGAGCCAUGUCAGCUUCAUAGUUUCCCACCAGAGUAGUAGCAAUGAUUUCUGACUCCGUAAGAAGGUUUUGAAAAAGUGGAGUCAAAUUUGUUAAAUCAGGCAACGUUAACGCGCCUUCUUCACCUGCUAACACCCUUUUCAACCUCUCACAAAAUAGUCGGAGGUUCACGUCCAGCAUAUCUCCUUCUCUCCGAGAAACUGUGUAAGUGGCUAAAUUCCAGAAAUAUGACAUUAUUGCUAUUUUUUUAACUCAAAAAAAUGGUACGCGUUCAUUUAGAGAAAAGUUCAAGACGCGCGCCUUUUGAAAAAUGGUACCCGUUCAUGUAGAGAAAAGAACAGGUAUCCCAAUCGGUAUCCAACCUUUAUCUUCUUUAAUUACCACCACGACAUGAUUUUUUUUUUUUUUUUUUGAUGACAUGAGACUAUUGCUUAAAUUACAACUCAAAUUACAACUCAUAUUACAUGAGAGUAUAAUUGAUAUGUACAAUCAUAUAUACAUACUGAGAUCUAUUGACAUUAAUGCUGAUAUGACACUGCUCAGAUUUUUGUAACCCUCUCAAAUAUUCGAGGGACGUCAAACUCCUAUCCUGGGAGAAAGACUGCCUUCACUCGAGCUCUGUGGCUCCAAGGAAGGAAAUAUAAAUUAAACCUCUACAAUGCGACUGCGGAGGCUCGAACCCCUUCCCUCACAUAUGUGAGGGAGUGGCUCUAGCCACUUGGGCUAGCCCAAGUGGUUCCACGACAUGAUUGAUGGUGCUUAAAUCAAUUGUUUCUUUUUUAAUUUAAAGAAAUUUUCAUUAAAAAAAUAUUUUAAUAUCAAAUACCCUUCAAUGGCAUAACUGCCGCAAUCCCAGAAACAGGAUUAAAUAUUUUUUUUUUUUUGAAUUUUUGGGCAUGGAAAGAGCAGUAUUAAAAAUCAGAAAGCUAAGGUCGUUCUGUUAAAGAAUUGAUAUUGACAUAAUUUUUUUUUGGUUUUCGGGGGAAAAAAAAAAUUGUUGACAAGCAAGAAAAUAUUUUUAUAUUUUACAAUUUAUUAUACAUAUUUUUUUUUUUUGGAUCAAUAAUGGGCUCUAAAAGAGCUAAAGCACCAGUAAACGGGAGUGGGCAACCCCAGACACAUCGUUAUGAAGAAUACUCUGUAAAUUAGGAGGAGCAACAGUAAGUAACUGCAAUCCUAAAGGACAAGACAAAUUAAAUGAGGCCAGAAAAUCUGCUGCUAUGUUUGCUUCUCGAUAGAUGUGGUUCACUUUCACGACCCAGUCCCUGCUGAUCAGCUCACGAAUGGCAAGGAUAAGAGAAUGAUGCUCAUUAACAGGAGUGGUCGGAUUCUCCAAGAUUUGAGAUUUAUUAUACAUAUUUUAUCUUAUUAAAGUAAUUUUAAUAAUAAAUAGAAACAUAAUAUUACCAUAAAUAAAUUAAAGUUUAACUUAUUUUGAAUAUUAUAAAAAAUAAUUUUAAUAUUAUUAAUAGGAGGACAUUGUAUUAAUUUUAAAAUUUUUUAACCCAAAGGUUUAUUUAAAAUCUUUAUUAUAAAUACAAAUAUAAAAUUAAAUAUAAUAAUUUAAAAUUUUUAAUAUUAUUUUAAAUAUUAAAAAUAUUUUAAUGUUAUUAGUCUACUACAUAGAUCAUAUUACUUAUAUAAUAUUUGUAUUAUUAAAAAUUCUUAAAAUCAAAUUUUUAGUUAGUAUAUUUAUGAGGUAUUAUGGUUAAAAAAAAAACCUUAUUAUUACUUUUUAAAACAUUGAGGGCCUGCGUGAUAAUUUUUUCAAAAAGAAAAUGCUUGGUAUCUAGGAGGGUUAGAGAAACAGGACUACCAAAAUCUCUCACCCUUUUUUAAUUAAAAAAAAUUAAAAUAUCAAUAAAAAAAAUAAAGAAAAUAGAAUUUUAUCUGCUCCUUACUCCAUUUUUGUAACUCUCUCACCAUCUCUGUCGAGCAGCCCUCUCUUUCACUGUCUCUCACUAUUUCACAAUCUCUCUCUCACUCACACAGUCCUUUAGAAAAGCCCAAAAUAGGCCCAAUAAGCCCAUAAUUAAAAUAAUCGAAUCGAAUUAUUUCAAUUAAUCGAGUAUUUGAUUAUUUCGGUAAUUUGAUUAAUCGCGAUUAUGAUUUUAAAAUAAUCGUAAUCGAACGAUUAUGAAAAAUUUAGUAAAAAACCGAAUUGAACCGAACCGCACCCACCCCUACAUAAAAGAACAACAAUUACUUGUCAUUUUCAAUUUUUUCUAUAAGCUAUUUAUUUUGAGCAUUAGUGAUCUUGUCUGGACUACUCCAAUUAUUGACGUAACUCCAGUGGCUGCAUCCACUGGAAAAAGUGGAUGAGAACAUUUUUUUUUUUCAUAAAGGUAACUACUCCAAUUAUUGACAUAAUUGAUGGUGCUUAAAUCAAUUUUUUUUUUUAAUUUAAAGAAUUUUGCUUUAAAAAAUAAUUAAUAUCAAAAUGCCUUCAAUGUUGUUACCGCCACAAGCCCAGUUAGAGGACUCAUUAAAAAUUUUAGAAUUUUUAGGCCUGGAAAGCGUAGUAUUAAACAUCAGAAAGCAAAGGUUGUUAUGUCGAAGAAUUGAUGUCGACAAAAUUUUAUUUUAGUUUUCGGAAAAAAAAAAAAAUUUGUUGACAAGCAAGAAAAUAUUUUUUAUACUUUACAAUCUGCUAUACAUAUUUUAUCAUAUUAAAGUAAUUUUAAUAAUAUAUGGAAACAUAAUAUUAUAAUAAAUAAAUUAAAAUUACUUUGAAUUAUUGAAUAUUACAAAAAGAUAAUUUUAAUAUUAUUAAUAGGAAAACAUUUUUAAUUGUAAAAUCUUUUUAAUACAAAAAUUCAUUUAAAAUCUUUAUAAUAAAUACAAAUAUAAAAUUAAAAAAAUAUCAUAAUUUAAAUUUUUUAAAAUUAUUUAAAUAUUAAAAAUACUUUAAUAUUAUUAGUCUACUACAUAAAAUAUAUUAUUUAUAUUAUAUUCGUAUUGAUUAAAACGUUUUAAAGUCAAAUUUUUAAUUAGUGUAUUCAAAGAUACAAAAGAUUUUAGUAUUAUUUUUAAAAAAUUUCAGGAUAUGAAUGAUAAUUUUUUCAAAUUUUAAAGAUGUAAGAAUCUUUUUUUCUGAUAAUUUAUUUCACUUUUGAGAGAAUCCGAAAACGUUAAUUUAACAUUCUUUACCUUUGUGAAAAAAGUGAAAAUCAAGAACUAUUCAAUUUUGUUUUUAUUUGUAAUUCAAAAACUUUAUUCAUUUUCGAUGCUUUUCAAAAGAGACUCCUCUAAAUCCUUUUGGUGUCUGCAGCUCCUGCAAUUCUCAUAAAUCUCCAUCCCACAUCUACACUAUCAAACAAGUUGAUGGAAAUUCUUAUCAAAAAAAAAAAAAAAAACAAGUCGAUGGAAAUUGAUCAAUUACUUUUUGAAGUGGACCCAUUGAGUCAUGUUCAUUUCUGGUCAUUGUCUACUCUUUCCAUCAGCCAUUUAUUUUGACCAUUUGCGAUCUUAAAGGAUAUGAGAACGUAGCUGAAGUGCUGAAGGGGCUAUUAAAGAAGAGUGUCACUUGAUCACAAUCACAUUGAUGCACAACUCACUCGUGGCAAAUUUCGACUAUACGUUCUGCAAAUUCAGCCAAACCAUACAUGCAUGAACAAAACUAAAAUGUAGUUCUAAUCACAACUGCAGUUAUAAUGUUUACCCCUCUGAUUUUUCUCCAAAACAAAUUCAGUUCAAAACAAUAAUUAAAUAGCCACAUUUUGUUCGUCAAAAUAAAUGCCCAAAUUUUCAAUUAACAAAUCAUCUUCUCUAAACUAAAAAUCCCACAUCUCUAAAAUCAAUCUACAUAAUGUUGGAGAUGAGGGGUGAAUUGUUAACUCAGUAAAAAAAACUCAUGCAUAAUAUUACUAAUAAUAUAAAAUAUAUAUUAAUCAUUAUAAAGAAUCAUAAUUAGAAAAAUUAAUCAUUUUAUAAUUUAUUACACAAGUAAGAUAAAUCUCAUAAUAAGUUAUAACAUAAAAAAAACGUUAUCAAUAUAUAAUCAUUUAAGAAGUCAUUUAACAAUAAAAUCGUUCUUUAAUCAGUUGGUCAUGUCACAUAGUGUCAUCUAUAUUUACGGUGAUAAUAUUAUUACUCAGUAUUAUCAAAAAACAUGAUUUAACAUUUAGAGGAAAUUCUUGCCUUUUAAAAAAAACAUGUAUGCAACAACUACCCAUGCUUUAUCUUACCAUGACAAAUAUUUUCUCAAUGAAAGAAAAUUUUUUAAAAAUUGAUUUAAUGCACAAAUAUGAUGAUUUUUCCAAAAAUUAGUUUUGGAAAACAUAGUGAGAGAAAAUAGUGACGAUUAUUGUUUAGAUGUAUAAAUAGCCUAAACAUAAUCCUUAAUACCAAUAUCCUAAUGCAUCUUAUCAUCUUUCAUGAUAUUCUUUCAUUUAUGUCCAUUGGUUCAAGAUUUGAAUUUGAUCAUUAAAUCAUGUUCAAUAAUAUUAGAGAUUCUAACAAAUGAGUACCAACUUAAAUCCCAAUGUUAUGUGUCAUUGACCAAUUUUGUGUCAUUUUGUUAUUAACUAGGUGAUGAAUUUGUAGUUGAUAAAAUCACUUAAAAAUAUCUUAAAAAUCAAACAAUAGUUUGCUUAAUUUUUCCAAGUUAACUGCUCAAGAUGCUCUAUUAUAAAUAAUAACCUAAUUAUAUUCAUAAAAAAUGAUAUUUUUUUUGUGGUGUUGAUAAUGAGAUUAUCAUUCAACAUUUUAAAAUGUGAAAACAUAUGGAAGAUGGUUGUAAAUUGAUUGAAUGAAAACAUUUCAGUGAAGUCUCAAAAAUUUGGUACUUGUUGUCUUAUCGAAAGUUUUCUAAAUUAUAUUCGUGGCACAGCCACUAUCCAAACCAUACAAGUCCAAAGCUAUCCAAACCAUACCUGCAAGUCCGGGGCUUAAAUGGAGUACUUCUAAGCAAAAAAACAUUGACUAAAAUAGAAUAUAUACAUACAGACACACAUACAUACCAGCAUAUUCAAAAUAGCAAAAGGAGUGCAAAAGUUCAAGUUUGUAGACAACAUUGCAACCAUAGCAUGUUUAUAGCAAAUCCUCAAAAUCUGCUAAAUAAAACAAUGCCCUGUCUCAUGAAUCAAUGCUGAAUUAAAAUUGAAACUGAAAGUCUGGAUGGUUUUGUUUGUUGAGAAUGUCAAAUAAAACGGCAUUGAAGGAAGUUUUCAAAGGCAGAAUCCGCACUUGUCAAAGGGAUGAUCUGCACUUGUCAAAGACACUAUCCGCGCCGAACGGAUCGACACAUUUCCUUCCGUAUUCACAUAUGUAAUCUUUGAAAAAAUAUAGCUUCUGCAUCUAUAAAUAACGCUCAGUGUAUAAUGUUUUAUUCAAGAAAUAAAAACAAGUUUCUACAUGGUAUCAGAGCCAUGAAUGCGCUCAAGUUUCUUCAAGUUUCGCUGCUCUGUUUGUCACAAAAACAGAGGAAACCAAUUAAAUUCGUCCCACAACCAUUUUUUCCACCAUUUUCUUCCUUAAAAUCAUUCCUAACAUUACAGAAAUCCAUGCCGAUCAAAAAACAUGAAAGACAAAUUACACAUGUGCAGUAACCAAUGAUCAUAUUUCGUUACUGUCAAACACAAUGCAUCUGAGCAAAACAUUGGAAGCCAACACCAGAAUACAUAUGAAUAAACAAUUAAAGAUAGAGAAAAAAGGCUUAAACCUUGGGGGGAAAAAGUGAAAAAACAUGAAAGACAAAUUACACAUGUGCAGUAGCCAUCGAACUUAUCAGUGACAGCUGCAUCCAUUACAUUGCUCCAACAACACAAUGGCAAACCACCAGUUUCAAAUUGAGGAUAGCUAUCGAGAAUGAGAAAGUGUCCAAAACGUCAUAAAUAGACAUGUUCCGAUUGUGCAUAAUUUACAUUAUAGGCAAAUAUUCUUAUACCAUCAAAGGCAAAACAUGACACUAACAAUUGAUCACCC